ACGCACGCUGGCGGCGUGCUUCACACCUGCCAGUCGCACGGAAAGGCCCUGCUUUUGUGGGGUGCUCGAGUGGCGAACGGGUGAGUAACACGUGAGUAACCUGCCCUUGACUUUGGGAUAACUUCAGGAAACUGGGGCUAAUACCGGAUAGGAGCUCCUGCUGCAUGGUGGGGGUUGGAAAGUUUCGGCGGUUGGGGAUGGACUCGCGGCUUAUCAACUUGUUGGUGGGGUAGUGGCUUACCAAGGCUUUGACGGGUAGCCGGCCUGAGAGGGUGACCGGCCACAUUGGGACUGAGAUACGGCCCAGACUCCUACGGGAGGCAGCAGUGGGGAAUAUUGCACAAUGGGCGGAAGCCUGAUGCAGCAACGCCGCGUGCGGGAUGACGGCCUUCGGGCUGUAAACCGCUUUCGCCUGUGACGAAGCGUGAGUGACGGUAAUGGGUAAAGAAGCACCGGCUAACUACGUG
rnacentral:rRNA from 1 species